UGGAUGCUGAGAUACACAUGGAAAUAUCCAGAAAGAAGUUCUCUCUUUUUUAAAAACAUUUUAUUGAAGUAUAGUUGAUUUACAAUGUUGUAUUAAUUUCUACUGCACAGCAAAGUAAUUCAGUUCUAGAUACAUGUACAUUCUUUUUCAUAUUCUUUCCAUGAUGGUUUAUCACAGGAUACUGAAUAUAGUUCCCUGUACUAUACGUGCAUGCUAAGUCACUUCAGUCGUGUCUGAUUCUUUGCAACCCUAUGGACUGUAGACUGCCAGGCUCCUCUGUCCAUGAGAUUCUCCAGGCAAGAAUAUUGGAGUGGAUUGUCAUUUCCUUCUCCAAGGGAUCUGCCCAACUCAGGGAUCAAAAUCGAGUCUCCUGUCUCCUGCAUUGGCAGGUGAGUCCUUUACUACUAGUGCCAUCUGGGAAGCCCAUCUGUACUAAUCAGUAGGACCUUGUUUAUCCAUUCUGAAUGUAAUAGUUUGCAUCUGUUAAUCCCAGACUCAGAAGAAAAUUCUUGAGCCUCCACCAGUCAGUGCUUAGGAUGCCAUCCUUGGGCCCAGCACAUGUCUCACUGAAGUCUCAGGCCUCCUGUGAGGGUGCCGUGAGUUAUCACAUUGGGCAUCACUGUCCCCACUCCACAGGAAGGACACUGAAGUUUAGACAGAACAAUGCUCUGCGUGAAGGCUGUGUUGUAUGGAAGGUGAUACGAUGCUUCCUUAUCCCUUGCUUGCCUGAGCCCUUCUCCAGUCCAAAGGUGUUUGAGCUUAGCCAAGGGAGGCUGAACACAGAGGUAGGUAGAGAAAUGGCAAUGUGGAUAGACAAUCCCAGUUUCAAAGAGCCUGCUCCAUUGUCCACAUAAAUCAACUCAGAAUUGUCAGGCGACACAUAUGCCUGUGUGCUGCCUGGGCAGUGGGGUCACCAUGAGUAUACACACCCACCCUCUGGGUUCCCACUUCUAAAAACAUUAAAACACGGUGAGAUGACCAGACAAGCAGCACUGAGCAGCAUGCUUUCUGCCUUUGACUGUUAAGUACCCCCCUCUAGAGCCACCCCACGGGCCAAGCAAUAAUGAAAGACGCGACUUUCAGGUGUCUUAUAACAGAAAAGUGUUCCGGACACGCUGCAACCACUGGCACGGUUCAAAAGAAAGAACACAAAGAAGGAAGAAUAGGAGGAAGGCGAGAAGAAUAACUUUCUUAGAAAAUAGAAGAAUCAUCCAGAAUUGACUAUCAACAACAUUCUAAAGAUUGGAUUCUGAACAGAGGCACACUUGGCAUAUUCUUGUUGGCAUGUUUCCAUCUGAGUAACUUCUUGCUCCGGAAAGUGAAGGGUAAAAGGAAAGGGUCCCCAUUUUGAAGUGCAGAACAUUCAGCUGGUGCCUGGAGGAAUGCAGUCCCUUGCAUAGUUCCUCCUGGUCACAUUUGCACAAUCAUAGGCACAGGUAGGAAGUGCUUGUUAACAAAGUCUUGACUAGGAGAUAACUGGACCAUAGCAUGUUUUCCUAAAGUUGAUAUGUAGUUCAGUGGCCCAGAAAGCUGUCUUUCCUUAAACUGGGGAGAGACUCAAGUCUUUGUUUACCUCUGGGAAAUAGUAAGCUCAGGCUUAACAACACACACACACACACACACACACACACACACACACACAAUGACUAAUUCAAUUUUACUACAAAAUUUCCUUUUCAUAGAAAGCAUGAUUAUAUACUAUAAAAUUUAACAAACUUUGAGCAUCUGGGAGUAAGAGACGAUGAACUAACUAGGUCCUGACCCUGAGAAGCACAGUUUGUUGGGAAAGACAUGUACAUAAAUACAUAUAACAUUUUGACAUUUCUAUAUAAGUAUAAACUGGAUAUUGGGUAC
ensembl:lncRNA